rnacentral:rRNA from 1 species
ACGGAAGGCAGCAGUGGGGAAUAUUGGACAAUGGGGGAAACCCUGAUCCAGCGACGCCGCGUGAGUGAAGAAGUAUUUCGGUAUGUAAAGCUCUAUCAGCAAGGAAGAAAAUGACGGUACUUGACUAAGAAGCUCCGGCUAAAUACGUGCCAGCAGCCGCGGUAAUACGUACGGAGCAAGCGUUAUCCGGAUUUACUGGGUGUAAAGGGAGCGUAGACGGCAAAGCAAGUCUGAAGUGAAAUCCCGGGGCUCAACCCCGGAACUGCUUUGGAAACUGUUUAGCUAGAGUGCAGGAGAGGUAAGCGGAAUUCCUAGUGUAGCGGUGAAAUGCGUAGAUAUUAGGAGGAACACCAGUGGCGAAGGCGGCUUACUGGACUGUAACUGACGUUGAGGCUCGAAGGCGUGGGGAGCAAACAGGAUUAGAUACCCUGGUA